CUGAGAUCUAUUAGGGACAGUCUAGUGAGGAGGAAGGAUUUGCACCUUUAAGGGCUCUGUGCCAAAUCCUCCACAAAAGGCGGUCCACUGGAAUGCACUUCCACUCAUGCACUUAUAAUGUCUGCUGACAACACACCCAGCAUACUGUGCACCAAGUGGUACCUUUUCAUCACAUCCCUCAGCACUGUGACAAGCAGACACCAUGAAGCCUAAAUCUCUUUCGUUCAGGUUGUUUCACCGAAAUUCAGCAGCAGCAGCAGCAGCAACAUCAGCUGAUAUGUUGAGUACAGGAGCAGCAAAGUAUCAGCGUCAUAUGGACUGUGCUGACCCCUCAGAGAGCGAGACCUCUUCAAACAGUGACAGUGAGCCAGUGGCAGACAACAGCCACCAAAGAGAAAUACACUUGGCCUUUCUGCCAGACAGGUAUGAGCCACUGAUGGAUGAAGAGGCACAAGUGAGGGCAGAAGAAAAGAAGAAGAAAAAGAAAGAAAAAUACAAAAAAGUAAAGAAGAAUGUUGGCAAAGCUCUACAUUCCACCUGGAAAUGUCUAAUUUUGGGUCUGUAUCAAUUUGCCCUGGGUUACUCCACACCAGUUACAGUGGCAGCUACUUUUGUCCCUGACUUUCACCCAGCCAGAAACAGAACCUGAGCGGAUUUCCAUGGACCUACUCGAGUUUCUUUAACAACACCUGUGUACAUAAGGACACUGGCUGAAGCCUGUUGAUAUUCAUAAUGUUUGUGUAUUUGAAAUUUUAUUCACAAGUUCUCAUAGAUUUUCAUGUAUAAGCAUUACAUUUAUUUCUUUGUACAAUAGAUAUUUUUCACAAAUUUUUUUUUACUAUAGUUGGAGAACACACUCAAUAGUAUUAUAGUUUUCCACAAAUUUUUCAUUAAAUGUUUUUACAGCAGUUUUUUUUUUUCUUUUUUCUAUUCUGAUAUGUUCAAAUAUCUUCUUUGGGAGAGUGUUGUCCUGUUGGUCCAAGUGAUUAUGAUAUAUAACAGAUUUACUGAAAAAUGCAUUUUUCUGUACACUUGAGACAUAGGCUGUGAAUCUGCUAUUCAUUGCUGCUAUGCAUUGACCAAAUGCUCUCCAUCUGGCGUACUUAUCUCUAAAUUACACACCAGUCACGGCCUGAGUAACCUGUAACUGCAGAACACAGAAGCACUUAGGUCUUUUUUUCUCCUUUAUUAAGCAGUAAGCUGGUAUUUGCAUGUAUGCAGAUGGAUAAAAUGUUAAUGUGACGCUUCCAGCAGGAUAGAAGUGACUCCAAGAACUUGCUUCACCAACGACACAUCACUAAUGGCUGUUGGCGUCUCUAGGAAACUCUCAGAUCUCAUGUGCCACAAGUAAUAUAUAUUCAAUAUAGUUCCUCAUUGCUGAGCCUAUUUUGUGUUUGUAAACCUUUUAUCAUCUAAACUCUACAAAAACGAGCUGUUUGUCUGCUCUGUGAUGUUGGGAAGUAAAGUACAUUGCAGUGUAAAGUUGAUGCAGCAUGUCUCUGCAUGUCUUAUUGUUGCCUGUUGUGCAAAUGAUGCAUGUAAGUGAAUUUCCCUUGGAUUAAAUAAAGUAUAUAUCUAUCAUAUUUAUAGCUACACUAGUUUGGAGUUUAAGUUUGAAACAUCCUUUUCAUUUUCUCAUUCAAC
ensembl:lncRNA